rnacentral:rRNA from 1 species
AACAUCGCCUCUUGCACACCUAUAAGAGGUCCAGCCUGCCCAGUGACUCUGUUCAACGGCCGCGGUAUCCUAACCGUGCGAAGGUAGCGUAAUCACUUGUUCUUUAAAUGAGGACUAGUAUGAAUGGCACCACGAAGGUUACACUGUCUCCUCUAUCUAAUCAGUGAAACUAAUCUCCCCGUGAAGAAGCGGGGGUAAUUAUAUAAGACGAGAAGACCCUAUGGAGCUUUAAACUAAGAAUCAUCUGCUUUACCCUCCUUCAAAUUUCAGAAGACUAACUUUUACCAAAGCACUCUGAUCUCUAGUCUUAGGUUGGGGUGACCACGGAGUAAAAACCAACCUCCGCAAUGAACCAGGAUCUUUCCUUAACCAAGGGCCACAGCCCUAAGAAUCAACACAUUGACAUCAAUUGACCCAAAAAUUUGAUCAAUGAACCAAGUUACCCUAGGGAUAACAGCGCAAUCCGCUUCAAGAGCCCCCAUCGACAAGUGGGUUUACGACCUCGAUGUUGGAUCAGGGUAUCCUAGUGGUGCAACCGCUACUAACGGUUCGUUUGUUCAACGAUUAAUACCCCACGUGAUCUGAGUUCAGACCGGA